GGUCCUCUGUCUCCUUUGAAGCCAGGCGAUCCAGGGAACCCGGGCUCACCUUUCGGACCCACCUGUGCUCCUGUCUGCCCGCUAAUAACCUGAUGGGACAAAAACAAUCAAGCCAAAUCUGAUGGGGGAGACCUGAUACGGGAUACCCUGCAGCCGGCAACGAAACACAGGGGGACCUGGAUAGCCAGGAUCACCAGGGAGGCCUGGAAGCCCUGGGUCACCCUUUCAAAGGAGAAAUACAAGAGACUGAAUUCAGUGGAUCUACCAG